UACGUAGGGGGCAAGCGUUGUCCGGAAUCAUUGGGCGUAAAGAGCGUGUAGGCGGCUCGAUAAGUCUGCUGUGAAAGUCCAGGGCUCAACCCUGGAAGGCCGGUGGAAACUGUCGGGCUAGAGUCCGGAAGAGGCGAGUGGAAUUCCCGGUGUAGCGGUGAAAUGCGCAGAUAUCGGGAGGAACAUCAGUGGCGAAAGCGGCACCCUGGCAUUAGCCUGACGCUCAGGUGCGAAAGCGUGGGGAGCGAACGGG
rnacentral:rRNA from 1 species